rnacentral:misc_RNA from 1 species
GAUGAAGAACGCAGCGAAAUGCGAUAAGUAAUGUGAAUUGCAGAAUUCAGUGAAUCAUUGAAUCUUUGAACGCACCUUGCGCCCUUUGGCCAUUCCGAAGGGCAUGCCUGUUUGAGUAUCAUGAACACCUCAACUCUUUAUGGUUUUCCAUGAUGAGCUUGGACUCUGGGGGUUUUGCUGGCUCACAGUCGGCUCCUCUAAAAUGAAUCAGCUUACCAGUGUUUGGUGGGUAUCAUGGGUGUGAUAACUAUCUACGCUUGUGGUUUUUCCACCAGGUAACCUUCAGCAGUGGAGGUUCGCUGGAGCUCAUAGAUGUCUCUCCUCAGUGAGGACAGCCCUUUGAAUGUUUGAUCUCAAAUCAGGUAGGACUACCCGCUGAACUUAAGCAUAUCAAUAAGCGGAGGA